GAGACAGCGCAACAUUUCGGGACCAUUUCGGACAGUUUUCAGCCUGUUCCCUUGGAGUUGCUGGGCCCUGCAGACCACUGUAGGUCUCACAACCCGUGGUGUCAGGGGUUUUCUUUCCAUUGACGAAUAAAUUGGAGGUGAUUAUUUGACGACCUGUGUUACAAGUUGAUCCAAUCCAUCCCUUACCGGGAGACCCGCCCCCCUCCGGAUCGUCAGGGUCCGCCCCCAGCGGGCGCGCAAGCGCUGCCGCUACAAGUUCUUGGCGUCGUAGACAGGAUUGGAUGAAUGUGGAGCUUGAUGUUACUGUACCCCAGAUACCGUCGUGUGAUGAGGGACGAGACUGCUUUU